rfam:Roseovarius albus strain CECT 7450 genome assembly, contig: 0006
GCCGUGGGGUCCGCGAAUGCCCCGUGAGGCUCAGGCUUAAAUUUCGCUUCCCAGAUCAACACAACAGGUCGCACUAUG